rnacentral:rRNA from 1 species
GAUGAACGCUGGCGGCGUGCCUAAUACAUGCAAGUCGAGCGAACAGAUGAGGAGCUUGCUCCUCUGACGUUAGCGGCGGACGGGUGAGUAACGCGUGGAUAACCUACCUAUAAGACUGGGAUAACUUCGGGAAACCGGAGCUAAUACCGGAUAAUAUAUUGAACCGCAUGGUUCAAUAGUGAAAGACGGUUUUGCUGUCACUUAUAGAUGGAUCCGCGCCGCAUUAGCUAGUUGGUAAGGUAACGGCUUACCAAGGCAACGAUGCGUAGCCGACCUGAGAGGGUGAUCGGCCACACUGGAACUGAGACACGGUCCAGACUCCUACGGGAGGCAGCAGUAGGGAAUCUUCCGCAAUGGGCGAAAGCCUGACGGAGCAACGCCGCGUGAGUGAUGAAGGUCUUCGGAUCGUAAAACUCUGUUAUUAGAGAAGAACAAAUGUGUAAGUAACUAUGCACGUCUUGACGGUACCUAAUCAGAAAGCCACGGCUAACUACGUG